CCCGCCCGCCGUACUACUAAUCUUUCAAAAUUAUUUAUGUUAAUACAUUGCAGAUAGCAAGCAUGGCAGCAAAGAGUGGUGGCUCCCGUCUUCUUUCAAUCACUCGGCCCGGCAAAAAGGAGGUUGGCAAGUCAUUUGAGGGGAGCUGGUUUUACCACCUGGAAAAAUUUGCCCUGCCAAUCAGUGGAUGGCAGACAGAUUGUUUGAGUUUGCCUAGAGAUGUUUUAGAUAAGGGGGGAGUCGGCGCAAUAAAUGGGUUAAUGUCAGCCUGCAAAUUCCAUAACGUGGCCAAGACUCCAGGUGUUUAUCGCUACAAGUUAGUAAUGGAGUUAACCACAAGAAGCACACUGAAAGAAGAAGGAAUUGGGGGGGGGCAUUCUGAGUUCGAUAACUCAGAAGUCCUCCUGGCAAGACUCCUCUGGGAAUAGCGCGCUCUAAACUUAAGAGGCCUUGUCUCUACUUUCUAAUCGAGUUGGAUGAAAUCGGGAUUUCAGUGUGCCGAGGUUUCCAUUCUUUUCAGGUCUUCGGAUCCCUUCUAUGUAGUCAUGGCUGUUCUGGAACUUACUAUGCAGACCAAACUGCCCUCAAUGAACAGAGAUCCUCCUGUCUUUGCCUCCCGAGUGCUGGGAUUAAAGGCAUGUGUCACCAUGCUUGGUCUAGAAGUUAACUUUUGGUUCAAUUUCUUUGAAUAAAAACCUGUUUAAUAUCAUGAGGAAA